rnacentral:lncRNA from 1 species
UCCCGUGUCUGAGCCUGUUUUGAGCAGGGCUUCAGGCAAGAAAGCUCCUGGAGACCCUUUCCACCUAGCUGCCCUCAUGCUCAGUGUCAGGCAGGCCUCGUGCCAAGGCUCCCAACAAUGAUGGAGGUACUGGUGGCUGGCAGAGCCACCUCAGGUGCAUGGUCUCCUCCAGGGACAGGCCAGGCACUGCCAGAGUCCAGAGGAACAAAAUGCCCGUGCCCUCAUGACCAAGCUCACCUACACAGCAUGCAGGCAGGAGCUGACCCUGGAAGACAACCCACCACCAGCACCACCUUGCAGAUAUGACCAGCUCAGGUCACAGCCAGGACACUAACAGCCCUUUCCUCAUCCUGCAUCUCUGGGUGCUGAAAAAGGAGGGCGGCAUCUCCGAGGAUGGGAACAGGCAGGAAGAAGAGACAGCACCGAAUACGUGGGCGCUGCUCUCACUGUAGAGAACAGAGUACAAACCCUGCUGCUGCCGCCAAGCCCGGUGUCCUCAGAUGUAUCUCUGGAGCUUGCCCAGCCAGACUUCCCUGUGUCACAUGGACCAGGGGAGCCUAAGCAGGACUGGGGGCACUGCGGUAACAAGUACCAUGGCUCCUGCCUAUCUGCUCAGCCAUGCUGGGAUCUGCACACCCAAGGCAGGCUGAGCAGUGUCCCACAAAAGCCUGAGGAGGCUGCAGUAGGGCCAUGGGAGAGGUCUGUGUUUACUGCUUUUACAGCAGCCAGGGACUCGGCACCUACCAUGCAUGUAGCGAGUGGCAGAGCUCAAUGGCCUCACCUGCUGCUCUGACCUUCAAACGCUAGGUAAUUAUGUAAGAUGUGUUUCAUCAGAAAAACAGUCCCACUGCUAAGAGCCAUGGUUCCCAACCUCCCCAUCCUCCCUGGGAUGAAGCUCAACUGCCAAUGCAGGCCUUGGGAAGAGCUGAAGAUUGGGGUGCAAAUACCUCCACAAUGUGCUCCUUGACCCCAGCAGCUCACAGCCUGAGGACUUCCUGAGCCAGAAAAACCACGACUGUGCUCACCCGGUCUGCAGUGGAUCUUCUCUUUGCUUAAUUGCAUUUUGACCCCAGACAAGUUUUUCACACCUUCAGCAUCCUCCUCGCCAAAGUCAGCAGCUCCACAGGUUAAUCCUAAACUGCUGCAGGAAGCACACUCUUGCCCUGAGGUACCACUGCCAAUUUUAGCACGUGAUGGCAGCAAGCACUUUAAGGGAAGAGAGCUGGAGCAGCCAUUCCCUGCUCAGCUUCCCCCAGACACACAUGAUUUUAUUAUUCUCCGUCAUCCCUCCCUCAGUCAUCUCUUCCCCCAGACGGAAGAGAGCUAGUUUAUGUAAUUGUUCCUUGUAUGGAAACUGCUUCAUACCUUUA